rnacentral:lncRNA from 1 species
UUGUUGUAUCUGAGCCCUAACAAGUAUAGAGAUAUUGUAUAUGUGAUCUUAAUUAAGAAAAACCAGAUUGGACCAACUAAUCAUUUCACCAGUGUCGAUCGUUUUUUCAUAUUUUCAAAAAGAAAACUUUAUUCCUGGUCUCUUCAUAAACCAGUGUUUUUUGCUAAAGAAAGGAACUGGCUUAUAUUUUAAAGUCUUACGUUAACAAAAAUAUUUUGUUCAUUUUGCUUUCAUGAAUGAAAACAUUGAUAUGGUUGGUUAAUUCUUGAAUUUUUAUUUAUUUAUUUUUUUUUUGAAGAAAAUCUGUGCUAUUUUUGUUCCCCCCAAAUGUUCUGGUGUUUUAAGAAUUAAUGCUAGUAACAUCACUUCUAAAUUUACAGUUAUUUGGCUCGCAUGUUUAAUUAAUAAUAGUGUAUCAGUAAAUAUCUUAAGACCGGAUUCAUAGACAAGGAAUGGGAAGCAAUAGUGAAAUAUAUGCGGAAAUUUCUGAUUCAUUUAGGAAGCGCUUCACUUGUUUCUUGCAUAGUUCAAAGGUGAAUGUUUCCAGGAAUUUUUUAAAGUUUUUUUUAAAAGAGAAAAACGUACAUUUGAAUGUGAAAAAUAGAAUUUCUACAACACUGGACUACUAGAAAUAACUUUUUAAAAAUUACUGUUGUGUAUAAAUUAUUUGAAAUUCAAGUACAAAACACACCCGAGAAAGCAUUGUCUUUUGGCCGAGACACAAGUGCACUGAGGCACUGCCGUUUGCUCAGGACCCAACUGUGCGGCCCUCGGGAUGUGUUCCUCCCUCUUGAGCUCUCUUGCGGUUACUAGACACACACAGGCCUUCCUCUCUGGUCCUCGGAAAAGCCGGGCUUCCAAAGCACUGUUGAACACUGACGGUUCUCUUGUUAAUGUGGAUGUUCAAUGAGUUGUAUUUUAAAUAUCAAAGAUUAUUAAAUAAAGAUAAUGUUUGCUUUUUUA